GGGAGUGCAACACCAAGGAGCAUCUGACUUGAAGAUCCAUUUGCAGACAUCUCAGUCAAAAAAAUUUUAUUACCUCCGGCACACUGCAGAACUGUUUGAUUCAUUUGUUCAGAAUUUACUGUGAAUACUGCAGGGACUGCUUUGAUACAGAAGAAGACAGGGCAAUGCAGCAGAGAAGAAGGCUGCCUGUUUGUCCAGGACACUCUGGGGCAGGUGGAAACUUCGAGAAAGGAGAGGUCAGAAAGGUAAAACUUCAGACUGAGGUUAAAUUGUUGAGAUGGGAACAGUGAGCACAUUAACGCUCACCUAUUAGCUUCGCAUUGUGCAUAUUAACCAACGAAUGUUUGUUUUGUUUUGUAUUGUUAACUACUAGACUGCUUGCAAAUUUUCUUUGCUCGUAGUAGAAGUUACUCAAAGUGAUUGAAAGCCGCAGAAUGUUGCCUGGCUGAAAAACAGAGCUAAAGAAAAGGAGUUGACCAUGUAUGGGGACAGAACAUGUUCAUUUUUACUAUGUAUCUACAAGGUUUUCUGACCACACCACAAUUAAAGAAGAUAUGGUGCCAGGCUCUGUAAGGGUAGAAUCUACUUGACUCUAUGUAUGGGAACUGUUGAAUCACAGCCUGAACCUCUGAUUGACCACCUGAGGCAAGCUCUGAAUCAGCUGCAGGGGCACAGGUGAACGCAAUUUCACCUGAGUGACCGGGCCUCCUAGACCCCACUUAAAGGCUGACUCCCAGGGAGGAUGGGUCUCUAUCUGGAGAUUGCUCCUUUUGGAGCCCUUCCAUGAGCCCAGGAUACAGCACAAUCCUACAGGGAGAACAUCCAGACAAGGAGACUUUAUACAAGGAUAUAUGCCCUAUCUCCAAUGUAUACAAAUCUUAUCUACAAACAGGCUUCUAGCAACACCUUUAAUGGAAAAAUACAGAGAAAACACAAAAGACCAUUGAUGAAAAUGAUGACUGCAUGAAUUACAGCCUUCAUGAGAAAGCUGGAGAGAUUUGGUGAUGUCUGUAGCUUCUUGCUACAGAAGCACCUGCCCAGCCUGAGCAUGGAGCAAAGAAUUACAAGACACAAACCUUGAUUCAGACAGUGAUCUUUGUUCAGACCAACAAUCUGUGCAUGUUUCAAGGAAUUUUCCUUGAGCAAGUGUUUUAAAAUUUUAUGGAAUAACACCAUGUACAAUUACUGUGUCCUGGAAGCUGCAGCUUUGGAUGCAGGAUGGAACAUUGCAGAGGUAAGAAAAAUUAUCUCCUCUUACUACUUUUCCCAUGCAGAGUUGUGGUAAGUCUUAUUCCUCUGGCUUUUUAAGAAAUUUCAGAUCUGAAGAAAGACACCAGGGAUGAACAAAUUGGAAUCUGGGUUUUCCUUUGGUUUUGCUAUCCCUUUUUGCUAAAUCCUGUUUUAGAACUGGGAAACAGUGAAUGGGCAAAAAAAGAAAAGAAGCAGAAAGGUAUUAAUUGUCGGUACUGGGAAAAUGUCUGUCAGCUAUUGAAGAGGAAAGGGAGCCCUUUGAAAGCAGGUCUGCCAAAACAGAAGUAGAGUUCAGUACAGAACACUGUAAGGAAAAUUUCUCUUGGGGAACAAGUAAGAAGAGAAAGACAGGAAAGACCUAAUUAAAAGUGAAGGUCUUGCAGUAAAUAAAUGAUUCAACUUGCUUCAAAAGUGUGUAGAAACAUUACUCCAUGAGAAUACCAAGUUAUAGUACAGUAAAAGUCUCUGAUAAAAUAGGUGGGAUAAUUUUUUUUCUUUGUAGAGUAGCACUGAAUUCCUCCUGCUUUAUAUACAGAACAUCAAAGUACAGCUAUGCCUGCCUAAUCAGUAGCAUUAGGAUUCCUGUAGCUUUUUUGCAACAUUCAAAAAAUCCAAUAAAAGUUUAUUAUUUCCAUUUUGGGGAUCUCUUGAGUCUGUACAGUAGGAAAACCCCAUCUCUUUCAUUUCAGAAAUAAUUUUGCACACAGAUAACAAUGUUGAUUCAGUGUCAUAUUAAAGCAUACGAAUAAACCUACUAGCAGGAAAUAAAAUUAAGCCAGCACUUAAAUGUUUUCUUAUAGGUCCUACUGUAAUUUCCUCAGUUUUGGGUGAACAUGUACUCAAUAAGGUGCCCAUCUAAAUCUAAUGGGAUACCCAAGUAUUUUGACGUUCACUCAUCAG
ensembl:lncRNA